UGGCAUUAAAGGUGUAAGAAUGACCCUGAUACACUCCCAAGUCCUGUUUAUGUGCCAUCUCUUUGCUGGAUGGGACUGAAAACACUCGUCUAAUCAUAUCAAAAUAUCAUGAAGUGCAAUAUGGAAGUUUUGAAGAUGCAGUCCGUGUUUUUUUUUUUUGAGAAAGGUAGUUGAUAUUUGAGCUCAACAGCCAAUCAAACACUUCUCUCUUCCGUGCCCCUGAAGCACUGUGCUGAUUGGCUGGGAUUGUUUAUGGCUCAGUCCGAGCCACUAUGUUUGUCUCCUAUUUACAGGGCUGUGUUUGAACACUGGAGGUUUACAGGGCUGUGUUUGAACACUGGAGGUUUAGAGGGCUGUGAGGUUCAGAGGGCUGUGUUUGAACACUGGAGGUUUAGAGGGCUGUGAGGUUCAGAGGGCUGUGUAUGAACACUGGAGGUUUAGAGGGCUGUGUAUGAACACUGGAGGUUUAAAGGGCUGUGUAUGAACACUGGAGGUUUAGAGGGCUGUAUGAACAUUGGAGGUUUGAACACUGGAGGUUUGAAGGGCUGUGCAUGAACACUGGAGGUUUAAAGGGCUGUGUAUGAACACUGGAGGUUUAAAGGGCUGUGUAUGAACACUGGAGGUUUAGAGGGCUGUAUGAACAUUGGAGGUUUAAAGGGCUGUGUAUGAACACUGGAGGUUUAGAGGGCUGUAUGAACAUUGGAGGUUUAAAGGGCUGUAUGAACACUGGAGGUUUAAAGGGCUGUGUAUGAACACUGGAGGUUUAAAGGGCUGUGUAUGAACACUGGAGGUUUAGAGGGCUGUGUAUGAACACUGGAGGUUUGAACACUGGAGGUUUAAAGGGCUGUGUAUGAACACUGGAGGUUUAGAGGGCUGUAUGAACACUAGAGGUUUAAAGGGCUGUGUAUGAACACUGGAGGUUUAGAGGGCUGUGUUUGUUUACAGGGCUGUGUAUGAACACUGGAGGUUUAGAGGGCUGUAUGAACAUUGGAGGUUUAAAGGGCUGUGUAUGAACACUGGAGGUUUAGAGGGCUGUGUUUGAACACUGGAGGUUUUUUAGCACAAACACAGAACAGACGGCUAGGGGAGCAAUUAGCUGAAUUGGACAAAUAUUGUAUGGGAUUAACAUUGUGGACUACACCUUUAAAAUGUUUCCUCUAUAAAAGACACUACAAAACCGCUACAAGUAAGAACAUUUAUGAAAAAGUAUGAACUGAGAGAUUUAUAGCAGAAAACAUUAUCCACAGAUUAUCGACACUAAUUACACAGUCACACACACA
ensembl:lncRNA